rnacentral:lncRNA from 1 species
UUCAUUGCUUCAUUCUUUCAUUGCUUUGCUGUGCAUUCUGUCCAAUUCUUUGUUCAAAAUGCCAAGAACCUGGACAAUUUGCAGUCAAGACCCUCCACCGGUAACACAAUUUCCAAAUUGGACUUAACAUUUUCAUUUUUCCAGAGCAGAUUGGAGGUAGAGAAGAAAGAAGGCAUUUCCUUCUUUUCAAAGACACAUCCUCAAAGUUGCAUAUAUUAUUCUUUCUCGCUUUAUAUGUCAGAUGUUAGGUAUAUGGCUACACUUCCUGGAAGCUUCCUGAGAAUUGUAGCAUUUAAGCAGCCAGCAUUCUAAAAUUAGAGUUCUAGUUCUAUGGAGGAAGGGAGACUAUUGGAGUUCCUCUAAGUUUCUGCCAUGAGCAUUUUCAGGUUACGUUGUCUACAUGUUAUCUAAUACCAAAACCUCUGUUAGUAUCUUCUUUAUUAUAUAGAAAAUAGGGAAUUCUAUCAGGCCAUAAAUACAUGUUUGUUUUAAAAUAAAAAUUAAAGUUCUAUUACAUAAAGAUUCUGAAAGAAUAUCUACAAAAUGAAGUUCUGCAUUUGGGAUAUGAACUUCCAAUUAUAUCAUUGGACUUGACUACUCCAUUUCUUUCCACAUUUAAAAAUCAAUCAGGGAGAAGCUAUUUUGAGAACUUAACACAGUAUUUAACAUGGGAUUUCUGAAUGAAGACAGUUUAUGGAUGAAUAAGGCAAAGGAGUUACUGAAUGUCUGGACUUCAGCGAAUUAAGACACUGAGACUUUCUCGCUAUUGAAGCUACCUUGAAACAAUAAACACUAAAUACCUAGUUGGUUUGCCAAAAGCAUAAAAUGUUACUUUUCGUAUUUGAUUUUCUUUCCCAAAUCUAUAAUAUAAUCCAGAAUUUGUACACAUAUUUUUUUCC